AGCUUGAUGUGUUUUAUAUCAAGUGUUUUCUGCCCAGUGAAGUUUAAAUGGCCGCGGUAUCUUGACCGUGCAAAGGUAGCAUAAUCACUUGCCUUUUUAUUGGGGGCUAGAAUGAAAGAAAGAAUAAGAGUGAAGCUGUCUCUGUCGCAAAAUAAAAGUUGCUGGUCCCGUGAAGAAGCGGGAGUGCCGGAAAAAGACAAGAAGACCCUAUUAAGCUUUACUUUUUUGUUUUGUUUUUUUUCUUACAAGAAAAAAAAACAAAAUAGCAUUAGUUUGGUUGGGGUGACUAAAAAGGAAAAAAUCCUUUUUGUAUAAAUUUACGUCAUGUUUAAAAAAGAUCCAAACUUUUUGAUUUAUAGAACAAGUUACUAUAGGGAUAACAGCGUAAUUUUUUCAGAGAGUUCUUAUUGACGAAAAAGAUUGCGACCUCGAUGUUGACUUGUUAUUUCCUUUCAAGGUGCAGAAGUUUAGAGGGUUAGUCUGUUCGACUAUUAAAAUAGCACGUGAGUUGAGUUCAAACCGGUGUG
rnacentral:rRNA from 1 species